rnacentral:rRNA from 1 species
GACGAACGCUGGCGGCGUGCUUAACACAUGCAAGUCGAACGAAGAGCGAUGGAAGCUUGCUUCUAUCAAUCUUAGUGGCGAACGGGUGAGUAACGCGUAAUCAACCUGCCCUUCAGAGGGGGACAACAGUUGGAAACGACUGCUAAUACCGCAUACGAUCUAAUCUCGGCAUCGAGGAUAGAUGAAAGGUGGCCUCUACAUGUAAGCUAUCACUGAAGGAGGGGAUUGCGUCUGAUUAGCUAGUUGGAGGGGUAACGGCCCACCAAGGCGAUGAUCAGUAGCCGGUCUGAGAGGAUGAACGGCCACAUUGGGACUGAGACACGGCCCAGACUCCUACGGGAGGCAGCAGUGGGGAAUCUUCCGCAAUGGACGAAAGUCUGACGGAGCAACGCCGCGUGAGUGAUGACGGCCUUCGGGGUUGUAAAAGCUCUGUUAAAUCGGG